rnacentral:rRNA from 1 species
CGAAUGGUAUAACGAUGUGAGGACUGUCUUAACUAUAUACUCGGCGAAAAUGCAAGUGUCGUGAAGAUGCGACGUACCCGCAACUAGACGAAAAGACCCCGUGAAGCUUUACUACAACUUGACAUUGGUGCAUUAUUUCAUAUGUUUAGCGUAGGUGGGACCCGCAAGGGGCCAAUGAAACACCACCCUUAUGCCAUGAUGUGCCUAAUUUCCUUACUUGAAUCAGCGAGGGAAGACAGUGUCUGGUGGGUAGUUUAACUGGGGCGGUUGCCUCCCAAAAUGUAACGGAGGCGUUUACAAAGGUCAGCUUAGCCCGGAUGGAAAUCGGGCUGGACGUGCAAACGCAAAAGCUGGCUUUACUGCAAGGGCUACCACCCGAGCAGUCGCGAAAGCGGAAGUUAGUGAUCCGACCGUACGAUAUAGGACGGCGGAAGCUCAACGGAUAAAAGCUACUCCGGGGAUAACAGGCUGAUCGCGCCCAAGCGUCCACAGCGACGGCGCGGUUUGGCACCUCGAUGUCGGCUCAUCGCAUCCUGGGGCUGGAGAAGGUCCCAAGGGUUUGGCUGUUCGCCAAUUAAAGCGGUACGCGAGCUGGGUUCAGAACGUCGUGAGACAGUUCGGUCUCCUAUCUGUUGUGGGCGUUGAAUGUUGAGAAAGCUCUUCCCUAGUACGAGAGGACCGGGAAGAACGAACCUCUGGUGUGGGAGCUGUCCUGCCAAGGGCAUGGCUCCGUAACUAGGUUCGGCACGGAUAAGCGCUGAAAGCAUCUAAGCGCGAAGCCGUUUUCAAGAUUAACAUUCGUUUAAGACUCGUUAGAGACUAUGACGUUGAUAGGCGCUAGGUGUAAGCUCCGCAAGGGGUUGAGCCGAGGCGUACUAAUAAGUCGAGUGUA